UACAGAGGGUGCGAGCGUUGUUCGGAAUUAUUGGGCGUAAAGCGCUUGUAGGCGGCACGUCAAGUCGCGUGUGAAAUCCCCAGGCUUAACCUGGGAAGUGCGCGCGAAACUGACGAGCUUGAGUGCCGGAGAGGGUCGCGGAAUUCCCGGUGUAGAGGUGAAAUUCGUAGAUAUCGGGAGGAACACCAGUGGCGAAGGCGACACGCUGGGUCACACCUGACGCUAAAGCGCGACAGCAUGGGGAGCGAACGGG
rnacentral:rRNA from 1 species